rnacentral:rRNA from 1 species
AUUGAACGCUGGCGGCAGGCUUAACACAUGCAAGUCGAGCGGGGGAAGGUAGCUUGCUACCGGACCUAGCGGCGGACGGGUGAGUAAUGCUUAGGAAUCUGCCUAUUAGUGGGGGACAACAUCUCGAAAGGGAUGCUAAUACCGCAUACGUCCUACGGGAGAAAGCAGGGGAUCUUCGGACCUUGCGCUAAUAGAUGAGCCUAAGUCGGAUUAGCUAGUUUGUGGGGUAAAGGCCUACCAAGGCGACGAUCUGUAGCGGGUCUGAGAGGAUGAUCCGCCACACUGGGACUGAGAAACGGCCCAGAAUCCUACGGGAGGCAGCAGUGGGGAAUAUUGGACAAUGGGGGGAACCCUGAUCCAGCCAUGCCGCGUGUGUGAAGAAGGCCUUAUGGUUGUAAAGCACUUUAAGCGAGGAGGAGGCUACUUUAGUUAAUACCUAGAGAUAGUGGACGUUACUCGCAGAAUAAGCACCGGCUAACUCUGUGCCAGCAGCCGCCGUAA